CCUACGGGGGGCUGCAGUGGGGAAUAUUGCACAAUGGGCGCAAGCCUGAUGCAGCCACGCCGCGUGUGUGAAGAAGGCCUUCGGGUUGUAAAGCACUUUCAUCGGGGAGGAAGGCGGUGAGGUUAAUAACCUCACCGAUUGACGUUACCUGCAGAAGAAGCACCGGCUAACUCCGUGCCAGCAGCCGCGGUAAUACGGAGGGUGCAAGCGUUAAUCGGAAUUACUGGGCGUAAAGCGCACGCAGGCGGUCUGUCAAGUCGGAUGUGAAAUCCCCGGGCUCAACCUGGGAACUGCAUUCGAAACUGGCAGGCUAGAGUCGUGAAGAGGGGGGUAGAAUUCCAGGUGUAGCGGUGAAAUGCGUAGAGAUCUGGAGGAAUACCGGUGGCGAAGGCGGCCCCCUGGACAAAGACUGACGCUCAGGUGCGAAAGCGUGGGGAGCAAACAGGAUUAGAUACCCGUGUAGUC
rnacentral:rRNA from 1 species